rnacentral:rRNA from 1 species
AGCGUUGUCCGGAAUUAUUGGGCGUAAAGGGCUCGUAGGUGGUUUGUCGCGUCGUCUGUGAAAUUCCGGGGCUUAACUUCGGGGUGGCAGGCGAUACGGGCAUAACUAGAGUGCUGUAGGGGAGACUGGAAUUCCUGGUGUAGCGGUGGAAUGCGCAGAUAUCAGGAGGAACACCGAUGGCGAAGGCAGGUCUCUGGGCUGUUACUGACGCUGAGGAGCGAAAGCGUGGGGAGCGAACAGGAUUAGAUACCCUGGUAGUCCAUGCCGUAAACGUUGGGCACUAGGUGUGGGGACCAUUCCACGGUUUCCGCGCCGCAGCUAACGCAUUAAGUGCCCCGCCUGGGGAGUACGGCCGCAAG